UGGACCAGAACUGACGCUCAUGCACGAAAGCGUGGGGAGCAAACAGGAUUAGAUACCCUGGUAGUCCACGCCCUAACGGUGUCACUGGUUUUGGACGGUUGAACGUUCCUGGCCCACUCAACGCGUUAAAUGCCCGCCGGGGAGAAACGGCCCCAGUUAAAACUCAAGAAAUUGACGGGACCCCCCAAACCGUGGAAGCAGUGGGUU
rnacentral:rRNA from 1 species